AUGUUUAUCUGUCACUUUUGUAAUAAUGAGAGCAGUACAAUCCUGAGUUUUGUGCAGCAUGUGAAAUUGCAUAGAAAUGUGCCUAAAUCAGGUUUUAGAUGUGCUGUACCUGAUUGCCCACAUAUUUUCCCUAAGUUUUCUUCAUUUAAGUCCCACAUAUACAGAAAUCACAGGGAACAUCACCAGUCUGCUGCUAAAGAGCAUCAGGCACAGAUGUGUGAUAAAACAUUUAAAUGCCAUGUAGACUUUUGUGAAGUUCAAUGUGGGACCCUAACACAGUUUUUGUCUCAUUUAAAGAGCCAUAUUCAGUCAGGUCUGGAGAUCCGGUGCCCAUUUGGUUGCAACAGGACAUUUAAGGUGAGAUCUACAUUUGCAUCACAUGUAUCACGGACACAUAAAAUGUGCUCUGUAAACCAUCUGAUAGAGCCUGCUAUGACCAUGGAAACCCCAGUUUCAGAUGUCGUGUCUGAGAGUGAGAGAUCAGAAGUUGCAGAGCAAAUUCUUUCUGAAAUUGUGAAUGAAUCUCUUUUUCUAAGAAAUUUAACCCUCUUCUAUCUGAAACUGCAAGCUAAAUUGCUAUUGCCUGAGUCUACCAUUCAAGGCAUUGUUGAAGAAUUUCAAAACAUCCAUGACAUUGGGCAUUCAUAUUUUCUUAGCAAACUGAGAGAAAAGCUUGCUUUGCUUGAAUUACCAGAGGAAAGGAUUAAUGAUGUGAUUGAUCAGUUGUCUAGGGAGGUUUUGCUGACAGCUUGUAAUAGUGGAGUUCUAAGUACAGCACAGAGGAGAAAGACUACUUUCAAGCAAGAUUUCCACUAUGUUGAGCCAGUCCCUAUUUUUUUAGGAGUCAGUGAAAGAAAUGGGAAAGAGUACUUUGCUCGAUAUGUCCCAGUUAAACAGACCAUCAGUGCUCUGUUUCAGUGCCAGUCUGUGAGGGAUCAAUAUGAACAGAUGCACUCGCAAACAGUUGAAAAUAAUAUGUUUCGGGAUGUAAAGGAUGGUAUGAAUUUUUCUGAAAAUUUUCUCUUUCAAACUGAUCCAUCAUCUCUGGAUUUGAUCAUUUACCAGGAUUCAUUUGAGGUGGUAAAUCCUUUAGGCUCAGCUAGAAAAAAACACAAAUUACUGGCAGUUUAUCUUACCUUGUCUGAUAUUUUACCUCACAACAGGUCAAACAUAGACCACAUGCAACUUGUUCUUUUGUGUAAUGAGCAAGAUUUUAAGUACUUUGGACCAGCUCAUGUUUUUAGAUCACUAAUUGAAGAUCUCAAAGAUCUUGAGGAGAAUGGUGUUGUGUUGAAUGAUGGCAAAAUUUUGAAAGCUUCUUUGUGUUCCAUCGUAGGUGACAACCUAGGAUCCCACAUGAUUGGUGGUUUUGUCGAGAACUUUAGCCGAAGCCUACAUUUCUGCAGGUAUUGCACCAUUGAGAGAGACUCAUUCCAUGCCACACCUUUAGAACCUGCUAUGAAGCGAACUGUGGAGUCUUACGAGAGAAACAUUCAGGAACUUGCUACCUUAGGUGAUAAUGUAGUUGAUGGAGUCAAAUUUAACUCUCCUUUUAAUCAGCUGAAUUCUUUUCAUGUUUGUCAGCCUGGCUUGCCCCCCUGCCUUGGACAUGACAUGAGGGUGUUGUGGCGUCUGAUCUUAAGUUGUACAUUGAUUACUUGGUAA
ensembl:lncRNA